rnacentral:rRNA from 1 species
AGUCGGGCGAAGCUUUUUAGUAGUUUACUACUAGAAAUGACUGAGCGGCGAACGGGUGAGUAACGCGUGAGCAAUCUACCUUAGUUACUGGGAUAGCCCGAGGAAACUCGGACUAAUACCAGAUAUUCUUAUUUUUUCACAUGAAGUUUUAAGGAAAGGUCAGCCGAACUAAGAUGAGCUCGCGUUCUAUCAGCUAGUUGGUGGGGUAAAAGCCUACCAAGGCUACGACGGAUAGCUGGUCUGAGAGGACGAUCAGCCACACUGGGACUGAGACACGGCCCAGACUCCUACGGGAGGCUGCAGCAGGGAAUAUUGUGCAAUGAGCGAAAGCUUGACACAGCGACACCGCGUGUGGGAUGACGGUUCUAGGAUUGUAAACCACUUUCAGGAGGGAAGAAAAUGACGGUACCUCCACAAGAAGACCCGGCCAACUAUGUGCCAGCAGCCGCGGUAAUACAUAGGGGUCAAGCGUUGUCCGGAUUUAUUGGGCGUAAAGAGCUCGUAGGCGGUUCAACAAGUCGGUCGUAAAAGUUUAGGGCUCAACCCUAAAAUGUCGAUCGAUACUGUUGUGACUAGGAUACGGUAGAGGUGAACGGAAUUCCGAGUGUAGCGGUGAAAUGCGUAGAUAUUCGGAGGAACACCAAUUGCGAAGGCAGUUCACUGGACCGUGAUCGACGCUGAGGAGCGAAAGCUAGGGGAGCAAACAGGAUUAGAUACCCUGGUAGUCCUAGCUGUAAACGAUGGAUACUAGAUGUAGGAACUGGAUUGACGGUUUCU